rnacentral:rRNA from 1 species
UACGGAGGGGGCUAGCGUUGUUCGGAAUUACUGGGCGUAAAGCGCACGUAGGCGGCUUUGUAAGUUAGAGGUGAAAGCCCGGGGCUCAACUCCGGAACUGCCUUUAAGACUGCAUCGCUAGAAUUGUGGAGAGGUAAGUGGAAUUCCGAGUGUAGAGGUGAAAUUCGUAGAUAUUCGGAAGAACACCAGUGGCGAAGGCGACUCACUGGACAUGUAUUGACGCUGAGGUGCGAAAGCGUGGGGAGCAAACAGG